UUCUGUCAAGUAAAAUGUUUAAUAUUGUUGUUGGUGAGAUUAAUUGAUUAACGAUUUUAUUGAUUUUAUUGUUGUUGUUGUUUUUGUUGUUAUAUUUAAUGUAGUUGUUGAGAUUUAAUGUUUGUUGAUUCUAUUGAAUUAGUUUUUUGUUGUUGUUCUUGUUGUUUUUGUUGCUUUUGUUGUUAAUAUUUAAUGUUUGACGAUUCUAUUGAUGUUGUUUUUGUUGUUGUUG
rnacentral:lncRNA from 1 species